rnacentral:tRNA from 1 species
UUAAUUAAAACCAAAAUUGAGGUAUCUUAAUGUUAAUAAGACAAUUGAAUAAUUUUCUAAUUAAA